AAAAAACAGAAAAUGUACAGUCUUUAACAUUUUUAAGAGAGAAAUGGCUGCUGAGCAAGGAUGGAGUCAGGGCGACUGAAUGGAGCUGAGCAUUUACUGCCUGGAUGCCCUUCCUGAUGCCUACGUGGAGUUCACAGAAGAUAUUUCCUCUUUGCGCCCUGAUAGAGAAACAUCUGUCACUGCCUAGGAUUGAAUUCUCAACCUUCCAAGUGGGAGUUGAAUAUCUCAUCUUCCUCUGAGGUGGCCCCAUUCCAGUCCAUUUCAGUAUGGUGAUUGCCAGAACGUCACUGAUGCAUCUUGAAAUUUCUGCUUGAACAGCGUCAACUUUUAUUCGUGAUUCUGACACUCCGCAUACCAGUUUAUAUGAAUCUUUGCACCACAAAAUUUUUCUUUUGCCUCAGGGCAUAUCAUCAGAUGGAUGUCCUUUUGUCUUUAACCCUGUCUUAUCGUAGGUAUUAGAACUACUUUUAUUUGCUCUGUUCUCAGUAACUGGUUGGACAGCAUCUUACUUGGGAAGUUCAUCUUACAGAUGACG